rnacentral:rRNA from 1 species
CAUCCUCCAAGGCUAAAUACUCCUGACUGACCGAUAGUGAACCAGUACCGUGAGGGAAAGGCGAAAAGAACCCCGGCGAGGGGAGUGAAAAAGAACCUGAAACCGUGUACGUACAAGCAGUGGGAGCACAGGUUUACCUGUGUGACUGCGUACCUUUUGUAUAAUGGGUCAGCGACUUAUAUUCUGUAGCAAGGUUAACCGAAUAGGGGAGCCGGAGGGAAACCGAGUCUUAAUUGGGCGUUAAGUUGCAGGGUAUAGACCCGAAACCCGGUGAUCUAGCCAUGGGCAGGUUGAAGGUUGGGUAACACUAACUGGAGGACCGAACCGACUAAUGUUGAAAAAUUAGCGGAUGACCUGUGGCUGGGGGUGAAAGGCCAAUCAAACCGGGAGAUAGCUGGUUCUCCCCGAAAGCUAUUUAGGUAGCGCCUCGUGAAUUCAUCUCCGGGGGUAGAGCACUGUUUCGGCUAGGGGGCCAUCCCGGCUUACCAACCCGAUGCAAACUGCGAAUACCGGAGAAUGUUAUCACGGGAGACACACGGCGGGUGCUAACGUCCGUCGUGAAGAGGGAAACAACCCAGACCGCCAGCUAAGGUCCCAAAGUCAUGGUUAAGUGGGAAACGAUGUGGGAAGGCCCAGACAGCCAGGAUGUUGGCUUAGAAGCAGCCAUCAUUUAAAGAAAGCGUAAUAGCUCACUGGUCGAGUCGGCCUGCGCGGAAGAUGUAACGGGGCUAAACCAUGCACCGAAGCUGCGGCAGCGACACUCAGGUGUUGUUGGGUAGGGGAGCGUUCUGUAAGCCUGUGAAGGUGGCCUGUGAGGGUUGCUGGAGGUAUCAGAAGUGCGAAUGCUGACAUAAGUAACGAUAAAGCGGGUGAAAAGCCCGCUCGCCGGAAGACCAAGGGUUCCUGUCCAACGUUAAUCGGGGCAGGGUGAGUCGACCCCUAAGGCGAGGCCGAAAGGCGUAGUCGAUGGGAAACGGGUUAAUAUUCCCGUACUUGGUGUUACUGCGAAGGGGGGACGGAGAAGGCUAUGUUGGCCGGGCGACGGUUGUCCCGGUUUAAGCGUGUAGGCUGGUUUUCCAGGCAAAUCCGGAAAAUCAAGGCUGAGGCGUGACGACGAGGCACUACGGUGCUGAAGCAACAAAUGCCCUGCUUCCAGGAAAAGCCUCUAAGCAUCAGGUAACAUCAAAUCGUACCCCAAACCGACACAGGUGGUCAGGUAGAGAAUACCAAGGCGCUUGAGAGAACUCGGGUGAAGGAACUAGGCAAAAUGGUGCCGUAACUUCGGGAGAAGGCACGCUGACACGUAGGUGAAGUGAUUUACUCAUGGAGCUGAAGUCAGUCGAAGAUACCAGCUGGCUGCAACUGUUUAUUAAAAACACAGCACUGUGCAAACACGAAAGUGGACGUAUACGGUGUGACGCCUGCCCGGUGCCGGAAGGUUAAUUGAUGGGGUCAGCGCAAGCGAAGCUCCUGAUCGAAGCCCCGGUAAACGGCGGCCGUAACUAUAACGGUCCUAAGGUAGCGAAAUUCCUUGUCGGGUAAGUUCCGACCUGCACGAAUGGCGUAAUGAUGGCCAGGCUGUCUCCACCCGAGACUCAGUGAAAUUGAACUCGCUGUGAAGAUGCAGUGUACCCGCGGCAAGACGGAAAGACCCCGUGAACCUUUACUAUAGCUUGACACUGAACAUUGAGCCUUGAUGUGUAGGAUAGGUGGGAGGCUUUGAAGCGUGGACGCCAGUCUGCGUGGAGCCGACCUUGAAAUACCACCCUUUAAUGUUUGAUGUUCUAACGUGGACCCGUGAUCCGGGUUGCGGACAGUGUCUGGUGGGUAGUUUGACUGGGGCGGUCUCCUCCUAAAGAGUAACGGAGGA